CACAGUGUAGUAUAGUGGUUAAGGUGCAGGGCUUGUGACUAAAAGGUUGCUGGUUCAAUUCCCCACUGGGG